AAUCAACGCUGGCGGCGUGCCUAACACAUGCAAGUCGAACGAGAAGGUGACUUCGGUCACUGGAUAGUGGCGUCCGGGUGAGUAACACGUAGGUAAUCUACCUUCGGGUGGGGAAUAACGUCUCGAAAGAGACGCUAAUACCGCAUAAUGCAGCGGCACCUAAUGGUGAUUAGUUGUUAAAGCGGGGGAUCUUCGGACCUCGCGCCUGAAGAGGAGCCUGCGGCAGAUUAGCUAGUUGGUGAGGUAAUGGCUCACCAAGGCUUCGACCUGUAGCUGGUCUGAGAGGACGGCCAGCCACACUGGCACUGACACACGGGCCAGACUCCUACGGGAGGCAGCAGUGGGGAAUUUUGGGCAAUGGGCGAAAGCCUGACCCAGCAACGCCGCGUGAAGGAGGAAAUCCUUCGGGAUGUAAACUUCAUAAGUAAGGGAAGAAAGCUGCGGAUCGAAUAAGUCCGCAGUCCGACGGUACCUUACGUAAGCCACGGCUAACUACGUGCCAG
rnacentral:rRNA from 1 species